rnacentral:rRNA from 1 species
CUUGCUUCUCUUGAGAGCGGCGGACGGGUGAGUAAUGCCUAGGAAUCUGCCUGGUAGUGGGGGAUAACGUUCGGAAACGGACGCUAAUACCGCAUACGUCCUACGGGAGAAAGCAGGGGACCUUCGGGCCUUGCGCUAUCAGAUGAGCCUAGGUCGGAUUAGCUAGUUGGUGGGGUAAUGGCUCACCAAGGCUACGAUCCGUAACUGGUCUGAGAGGAUGAUCAGUCACACUGGAACUGAGACACGGUCCAGACUCCUACGGGAGGCAGCAGUGGGGAAUAUUGGACAAUGGGCGAAAGCCUGAUCCAGCCAUGCCGCGUGUGUGAAGAAGGUCUUCGGAUUGUAAAGCACUUUAAGUUGGGAGGAAGGGUUGUAGAUUAAUACUCUGCAAUUUUGACGUUACCGACAGAAUAAGCACCGGCUAACUCUGUGCCAGCAGCCGCGGUAAUACAGAGGGUGCAAGCGUUAAUCGGAAUUACUGGGCGUAAAGCGCGCGUAGGUGGUUUGUUAAGUUGGAUGUGAAAUCCCCGGGCUCAACCUGGGAACUGCAUUCAAAACUGACUGACUAGAGUAUGGUAGAGGGUGGUGGAAUUUCCUGUGUAGCGGUGAAAUGCGUAGAUAUAGGAAGGAACACCAGUGGCGAAGGCGACCACCUGGACUAAUACUGACACUGAGUGCGAAAGCGUGGGGAGCAAACAGGAUUAGAUACCCUGGUAGUCCACGCCGUAAACGAUGUCAACUAGCCGUUGGGAGCCUUGAGCUUUUAGUGGCGCAGCUAACGCAUUAGUUGACCGCCUGGGGGAGUACGGCCGCAAG